GCUAACCCAGGCUUCCUCAACCUCGGCCCUCCAGAUGUUUUUGGCCUACAACUCCCAUGAUCCCUAGCUAGCAGGACCAGUGGUCAGGGAUGAUAGGAAACAAAACAUCUGGAGGGCUGAGAUUGAGGAAGCCUGGGCUAAC